AGCCUCAUAGUGUAACGGUAGCACACCGGAUUUUGAUUCCGUUCGCCUAGGUUCGAAUCCUAGUGAGGCUA
rnacentral:tRNA from 1 species